GUUUAAUGAGUUCGAAUGCCAAGUGCUAUUCCCUCUUUGAAAGAAAAACUCUUCUAUGUUUGACAUUCAAUCUUCCCCCAACUCUCAGUUUUGGCAUCAAUUUCUUCUUCUUCCAACUCUCAGAUUCUUCAUUUUGUUUUGUUUUUUCCAUUUUCAUUUUCAGAUUUCAUUUGGAUUUUGCAAAAAGGUUUUGUCAGCCAUUCUCCAAGACAAAGGCUUAGCUCAAAGCUUCGGUUUCACUGUCAAAGCUCCAGUUGUUCUUCAAUAUGGGUAUUUACACAACUUUUCCCCUAUUGGACACCCCAUAUGAAAUAUGCUAUCCACCACUCUCAAGUGCCUCCCCCUCAAACAUUAGAGCUCAACGCACAGCUUAUUGCUAUAAGAUUUUCUCCUUUACAUUUGCUCUAAGGUUAAAGAUGCAACAAGUGACUCUUAAAGCUUAGUUGAAGACAAUGGAUAAUUCUUUUAUAUUUAGAAUUUCUCUAUUUUUUUUGAAAGUCAUGUAGAUGUUAAUAUGUAUUGAGGGAAAUUUGACAUUUAUAAUACAUUUUAAA